rnacentral:tRNA from 1 species
GCAGUGGUAGUUCAGUAGAGAAUUUUCACCUUCCACGUGGGAGACCUGAAUUUGAUUCCCAGCCUAUGUA